rnacentral:rRNA from 1 species
UACGUAGGGGGCAAGCGUUGUCCGGAUUUAUUGGGCGUAAAGAGCGUGUAGGCGGUUUGGUAGGUCCGCUGUGAAAACUCGAGGCUCAACCUCGAGACGCCGGUGGAAACCAUCAGACUAGAGUCCGGAAGAGGAGAGUGGAAUUCCUGGUGUAGCGGUGAAAUGCGCAGAUAUCAGGAAGAACACCCGUGGCUAAGGCGGCUCUCUAGGCAUGUCCUGACGCUGAGGAGCGAAAGUGUGGGGAGCGAACAGG